rnacentral:rRNA from 1 species
GAUGAACGCUGGCGGCGUGCCUAAUACAUGCAAGUCGAACGAAGAUCCAGCUUGCUAGAUCUUAGUGGCGAACGGGUGAGUAAUACAUAAAUAAUCUGCCCAUAUGACUGGGAUAACUAUUGGAAACGAUAGCUAAUACCGGAUAGGUUGAUUGGAGGCAUCUCUGAUUAAUUAAAGUAGGAUUUCUACACAAAUGGAUGAGUUUAUGGCGCAUUAGUUAGUUGGUGGGGUAACGGCCUACCAAGACGAUGAUGCGUAGCCGACCUGAGAGGGUGACCGGCCACACUGGGACUGAGACACGGCCCAGACUCCUCCGGGAGGCAGCAGUAGGGAAUUUUCGGCAAUGGGCGCAAGCCUGACCGAGCAACGCCGCGUGAGUGAUUAAGGCCUUCGGGUUGUAAAGCUCUGUUGUAAGGGAAGAACAUUCAGGAUAGGAAAUGAUCUUGAACUGACGGUACCUUACCAGAAAGCCACGGCUAACUACGUGCCAGCAGCCGCCGUAA